GACGAACGCUGGCGGCGUGCUUAACACAUGCAAGUCGAACGGAGAGGCCCGGCUUUUGUGGGGUUCUCGAGUGGCGAACGGGUGAGUAACACGUGAGUAACCUGCCCUUGACUUUGGGAUAACUUCAGGAAACUGGGGCUAAUACCGGAUAUGAGCUCCUGCUGCAUGGUGGGGGUUGGAAAGUUUCGGCGGUUGGGGAUGGACUCGCGGCUUAUCAGUUUGUUGGUGGGGUAGUGGCUUACCAAGGCUUUGACGGGUAGCCGGCCUGAGAGGGUGACCGGCCACAUUGGGACUGAGAUACGGCCCAGACUCCUACGGGAGGCAGCAGUGGGGAAUAUUGCACAAUGGGCGGAAGCCUGAUGCAGCGACGCCGCGUGCGGGAUGACGGCCUUCGGGUUGUAAACCGCUUUCGCCUGUGACGAAGCGUGAGUGACGGUACUGGGUAAAGAAGCACCGGCUAACUACGUG
rnacentral:rRNA from 1 species